GUGAAUCAUCGAAUUUUUGAACGCAAAUUGCACUCUCUGCUGAUAGUAUGCCUGUUUGAGGUUCAGCCUAAAAAAAAUCUACAUAGUCUCUGUUUCGCGGUGACAUUCGUCGUAAAUUUGGUCAUCUUAAACCUUUGUGUGUUAAUCGGCUUAAAAUUUUCUUUACGAUUCUAGGAACGUUUCUAAGAUUUACUUACACUUUUAUGGUAUCGAUUUUUAUGAUGCGUGGCCGUUUCAUCGGAUCACGUCCAUAUAUUUU
rnacentral:misc_RNA from 1 species